rnacentral:rRNA from 1 species
UACAGAGGUCCCAAGCGUUGUUCGGAUUCACUGGGCGUAAAGGGUGCGUAGGUGGUCGGGUAAGUCUGAUGUGAAAUCUCUGAGCUCAACUCAGAAACUGCAUUGGAUACUAUUCGGCUAGAGGAGUGGAGGGGGGACUGGAAUACUUGGUGUAGCAGUGAAAUGCGUAGAUAUCAAGUGGAACACCAGUGGCGAAGGCGAGUUCCUGGACACUUCCUGACACUGAGGCACGAAAGCUAGGGGAGCAAACAGG